AGGCCUAACACAUGCAAGUCGAGCGAGAUCUUCGGAUCUAGCGGCGGACGGGUGAGUAACGCGUGGGAACGUGCCCUUCACUGCGGAAUAGUCCCGGGAAACUGGGUUUAAUACCGCAUACGCCCUUCGGGGGAAAGAUUUAUCGGUGAAGGAUCGGCCCGCGUUGGAUUAGGUAGUUGGUGGGGUAAAAGCCUACCAAGCCGACGAUCCAUAGCUGGUUUGAGAGGAUGAUCAGCCACACUGGGACUGAGACACGGCCCAGACUCCUACGGGAGGCAGCAGUGGGGAAUCUUAGACAAUGGGCGCAAGCCUGAUCUAGC
rnacentral:rRNA from 2 species